AGCAGCCGCGGUAAUUCCAGCUCCAAUAGCGUAUAUUAAAGUUGUUGCAGUUAAAAAGCUCGUAGUUGAAUUUCGGGAUUGGCGCAUCGGUCGUGCCUUACGGGGUAUGAACUGGUGCAGUCAAUUUCUCACCUUCUGGAGAACCGCGAUGUCCUUAAUUGGGUGCCGCGGGGAACCCAGGACCUUUACUUUGAAAAAUUAGAGUGUUUAAAGCAGGCAUUUUUGCUUGAAUACAUUAGCAUGAAAUAAUAAAUAGGACGGCAUGGUUCUAUUUUGUGGUUUCUAGGUACCACCGUAAUGAUUAAUAGGGAUAGUUGGGGGCAUUAGUAUUCAAUUGU
rnacentral:rRNA from 1 species